GGAAAAAGGAAGUGUUGCUCUCUCUUUCCCCUCGGCUCCUGCUCCAGCGGCACGAUGUGAUUCACCAGCAAGGAGGGACGCCAAUAAGAGCUGGAAUCCUGGCAGUUCCACAGACCUUGCACUGGUCUCCGUAGGAAGCCUGGCAAAGGACAUAAGAAACUUGCUCCAGCUUAUUCAGAAUGGCAGCUGAUUGAGUCUCACAGAAACCAAACAUCAAAUGCAAGUCUCAGUUUUCUACUGAAGUUGUCUACCUCAUGACUGAAUUUCAAAGUUUAAAGACAUCUUUUCCCCUUAGGGAAGAAUUAGUUGGAAAAAGCUAUGUAGGAAAAUAGGUAUCAAUUCUCUGUUACUUUAUUUUCACCAAAUACUUUCACAUUGCUGGAGGAUUUGUAGAUCUAAACAGAAACAAGGUUAGUUUAAAGAAAGCCAAGUAAAACCACUUGUUUGUUGUUUCAGAAAUCAAACAAUAGUUAGAUUACAUGAUACUAAUAUUUUUUAUUUUAAAUUGUUUUUUAAAUCUUGUGGCUCAAAGCCCACAUUACACAGUCUUAUAUUAAUUCCAUAGAUGGCAUAAUCUGUAAGAAAAGAUGAAAUGCAGGAGAAAGUCUGAUACUCUCUAAAAAUAGUACAUGAGCUCUAGACAAAUAACCAUAGAGAAAUACGCUAACCAUUGAAUAAAUCAAGGGAAAAAUAUGAAGAGUAAAAUUACAAAUUCAACAACGGCACUGUGAUUUCAUGAGGAAAAGCAUAUGUGUCUUUUGAGGGGAUCUAGUGUGUGCCUGCAGCACAGCGUGAGCUGAUGUGCUUGCUGGAUACAUUGAUAUAAAACUGAGGUCAUGGAGAAAAGCAGUAUGGGAGCAAUGGUUAUUAAAAAUUGGGGAGAGAUGACUAAAUUAAAAUGGACCAUAACAGGAAAAUAGUCUUUAUAGAAGUCCAGAUAAUAGUAGAGACACUUUCUUGAGCUUCAUUCUUGCCUUCCCUUUAGAGUAGGAAGCCAGCAUCACAGCUUGCUUCAGACAUGGAGAAGGGGAGGAAAUGGCCUUAGCACCUUAUUUAUCAUAGCUGCAGAGAUGUCAAAGUCUUGUGAGGCAUUGGCAUUAGAGGAAUCAUGCAGAGGGUAGAAACAUUGGACUCCAUUAUUUUUGCAACUUUUCUGUGAAAAUUCCAAAAGUGUCCUGGUCUUUCCUUUUUUCUAGUUACUAUUCAUGAGUCUGGGACUUAGACCAUCAGUCAGCAUCCCUGGUUAGUGACCAGAGGAGCUGUCCUUUUCUAAAUAAGGGCAGAUAUGAGAAAUGCCUUAGCCUUGAUUAUUUUCAUUCAUCUGUCUUUUACUUAGGUGCUAUGCUGCCCUAAAUAUAUCUAUAAAAACUCAAGCUUAUUUUUAUUGGUAAGGUCUAGAGAAAGUAAAUUUUAAAAAUUAGAAAUAAAAGCAUAGUAUUACCCCCCAAACUAGAUUCAAAUAACUAUAUAGAGGUAGGCUAUCAAGUAAAGACAAAUCAAGAGUAAAUUGCCAACUAUAUUGAAAUGCUACCAAUCUUGAAGUUGUGUUCCAGAUUCCUGAGUAUAGUAGCUCAGAAUAUGCAGGCAAAGAACAAAGGAUAAAAGAUGCGUUCUAUUUUCCAAAGCUUUUCUUUCAUUUUAUUGCAGGGCCCUGGGGUGGGCUCUGAGCAUAAGCUCGCUGUUCACCAAUCACUCGCUAAUAACUGGAGCUGAAAGAGGGCUCUGCCCUAAUGCCAUUAUGUUCAAGAGCCAUGAUUGAUUGUGUUAUAGUAUGUUUUUGAAACCUAAUUACUGUCUGAGAGAGUAUCUGUACUCAUUAAUCUUUAGUCCUGUAAAUAAGUAAAAUUGACUAAAUAACUGGAUUUCUCUAAUGAUGGCUUAGGUUAUCUUUGAACCACUGCCUUGCCCUACCCUCUUCAGAGCAGCAAAUUAUUUUCUUAAUGGUAAUUGCUCCCCAGUUUUGAAAUCAAUUUGUAAAAGUCGGCUUAUAAAACAAUUUUCCGUGUUGCCCUGUGGUUGCCCAGUCCCUGUUCUAUGUUUGUGGUAUAAUGAGCACACCCCGUGAAGUGCUCACAUCUAUUGUGUUCACAGAUGGCCUCCAUGGUGGGGAGGGACACAUCACUUAAGGAGAGAAGAGGCUUGAGAGGGGUUAGGUUUGCUUUCACCUUACUGAACUCUACUUCAUUCUCACCCAAAUGGAAAAAGUUCUAUUUAGCACAACAUAUGCCAUGUACUCUAAAUAAGGCAAUAAUUAACACGACCACAAUUUCCUUUUCUACUUCCUAAUAACCAACCCAGGAUAGCUAAGGUGUGGGAUUUAAUGAUACAUUUUUCUUUCUCUCUUUCCCACCCCAUCUACUUACCAUUUUAUUACCCAUUAUAAUUAUUCCUUAGACAGUGAGCUUGAGGAAUUGGAUUAUGUUAUGUUCAUAUACACCAAGGGACUUCUUCUUCCAGACCAAAUCAAGUAAAAUUGACUGGACAUUCUCUAUUCUCACAACAGUUAGAUAUUAAAAAGUACAAAAAAUUGCUAUUUUGACACACUGGAUAUAGCAUCAAAGGACAAUGAUGCUGAGAGACAAGGUCAGAUGAGCCCUCUUCUACUGAAGUUACAACCUCAAGAAAAUUUCCAGAUGGUGACCUCGAGAGAGAAGACCCUGGAAUGAAAUAUGGAUGGAAAUCCAGGGAUCACAGGGCAAGGAACCAGAGAGGCAGCUGAUAUACAACGAAAAUUCUAUUAUUCUGUGGAGGACCCACUUUGAAUAUCCAGUUAAAAAUAAAUCAGAACAUCUACAAAGAAGCUAAUCAGGAAGGCAAAACGUAUUUAAUGGAACCUGGCCAUACAGGAUGCUGCAACUGGUCAUAAUGAUGUGAAUAAGAUGGCCUUAAAUGAGCUUUAAUGAGGUCUUCUACUUGGCAAAGAACCUGUGAGACCAAAAACCAUUGCCAUUUGUUAAAAGAUGGAGAAACCCUGAUGACAAGCAGAUUUUUCAUUGCAUUUCACCUCUGUGCCCUCCUCAGAGAAUUCGUGGCGUCUGAGUUAAAAUAGGUGGAAACAGUCUCCGUUUUCAGCCGUGGCUCCCCAGCUUGGUUGGAAUGCUCAUCUGGUUGUGAUAGAGGCUGCCUUUUGGCCAGCAGUUCUUAAAAUAGCUCCUUGGCUUGUAAAGCAAAAAGAAUUAGACAUUUGAGCAGCUCAGAGUUUGCUCUCUGGAUGCUUCUGGCAACUUGCUUUGGGGGGCACUGUUGCUCCAGCUUGGGAGUGCUAUCCAGGCUCUAGUGAAUGAUGGCUCUCUCUUGCGCAAUCUGGUAUCUGUACCCCCUGUCAAGUAAUCAUUACAAAUGUUUCAUGUAGGAGCAAGCUGGCUCUAAGCAAAGGUCUGCCUUUUAGUAGAAGCAUGGGCCUGAGGGGUGGGGCCCACUGUGUCCUGUCCAUGGUAACAUUUUCCCCUUUGACAGUGUAAUUAAGUGCUAAUUAACUAAAUGAGUGUAAAUGUUGAAGGUUGAGAUAAAUAUCCACAUCUUCUUAAUCUAUUUUCCUCUCCAAGAUUUGAUAAAGGAAAUCUGGAUUUAAUGGAGGAUAUUUGUCAAUUAUUUUUUUAAGACCACAAAUCUGUUUAGAAGGAACUCAGAUGCACCAGUUUUAAUUUCUACAGGAAAAGUUAACAGCAUAUAAAUAUAGGAGAGAUACAAUAAAAUGUGGAUGCAAUACUGCAAUAAUUAUGGUAAGGAGGAUGAGUGAAACUACCUUUUGGAAACAUCUGGUUUCUGUUUUUUUCAUAUCCUGCAGAUGUUGCUGAAUUGAUGUAAAAUACUGACGGGAGAAUACAUUAGCCCAUGAAGUCACUCCAAUGAAUAAAGCAAAGACUAGCCUCUUAACUUUCUAAAAAAUCUAGUUAGGAAAGAACCCUGCUUUCAGUGGAGGCAGCGAUUAGGCCAAUAAUUGAGAGGGGCCCAGGGCCUUCUAAAAGUGUCAAUAGUGAUCUGUUCUUGCCAAAGGGGAAAAGAGAUGCUUUGUGGAGGAGCAGCCUGGGUAAUAAAUGGGCAUCUUUGUAAUUCAGGCACUUUCCCAUUACCUUCCAUGGUGAGUGAUUGGAAAUGAGGCUGAGGAGCAGCCAUGGGAAGCCCACUCCUGUGCUUGGCAGGGGAGCAAAAAGGCUACUGCCUCUUGCCCCAAUUCCCCUGCCUGUCUCGCCAGCCUCUGGGGCUGAAGUGAGACCCGGAGUCACAUACUCAGCUCUUGAGUUAGAGCAAGAAUCUUGGAAAGAGGGUUCCAUUUGGUUCAGGAUAGUCAACACCCUUCCCAGGCAGGAAGUAGCAGGGUAGACAUAUGUAUGUUGAACUUCCUGGAAAGCAAGGGAUAGGCCUGGGAAAGUGGAACUCAUUUAAUGGGGUUUAGUUGCACAUGAGAUUAAAACCCCGAAAUAAAUGCAAAAGAAAUAUUUUGGCCUAUACCCUAUUUGGCAGGAGGAUUGGGAGCCCGAAAUAGUCCUCUGGCUGCCUGGGAACUCUGAACCACUCCCAGUACUGACAUCACCACUUUGAGUUGCAAGUAUCAUGCACAUAUUCAGAAGGUCCCAAUUAAAAUAACAAGGGUUUUUCUGGUAACCACCCUGGCCAACAAGAAGGGCAUACCUAUAUACAUAGCUAUAUAAAUGUACUUGUUAAA
ensembl:lncRNA